GCACUCAAUUAUGGCUGGUUAUCUGGGUCAAUGUUAUGAGCGCGCCGCUUGACACGCUGUCUCCGCAAACAGCGAGCCCGCCAAAUAAAUACAACCCGACACUUAUACCAGCUGAAAUACAUGCGAUGCACCCAUCGUCCCCUUGGAUAUCAAUCCACCCUUCAUGCUCCGAUUGAUGCCCGCUCCACCUGCUCUCACCGGCAGACACGCCCUGCUACGGAUCUGGCAGCAAAUCUUGGGCACAGAUGGCCCGAGCGUUCAGCACCACCUGCCAUGAUUUUUCCAACCCAGGCGAUGCCAAGACCAGGCCCGAACCCACCUGGCAUAAUACAUCCAAUGGGAAAAGCGUUUUCCCCCUUCACACUAUCUGACGGGCCAAUGGGUUCAACAGCACGUUUCUGACACAGCGUGACCCCAGGAAGUGCUUUUCUUCGUCACUGGUGGAGAGCUGGAGCUGGAUUCAUACUCCUUCCUGGGGUCUGACUGACCAGAAAGAACUGUUGCAAGUUAGCUUUAAGAUGACCUGCACUCUUUUCUUUAACAAAUGCAGGAAAUGGGUGUGAAAUAAAGCAGACAUUAUCC